CCAAUAGCGUAUAUUAAAGUUGUUGCAGUUAAAAAGCUCGUAGUUGAAUUUCGGGAUUGGCGCAUCGGUCGUGCCUUACGGGGUAUGAACUGGUGCAGUCAAUUUCUCACCUUCUGGAGAACCGCGAUGUCCUUAAUUGGGUGCCGCGGGGAACCAGGACCUUUACUUUGAAAAAAUUAGAGUGUUUAAAGCAGGCAUUUUUGCUUGAAUACAUUAGCAUGGAAUAAUAAAAUAGGACGGCAUGGUUCUAUUUUGUUGGUUUCUAGGACCACCGUAAUGAUUAAUAGGGAUAGUUGGGGGCAUUAGUAUUCAAUUGUCAGAGGUGAAAUUCUUGGAUUUAUUGAAGACUAACUACUGCGAAAGCAUUUGCCAAGGAUGUUUUCAUUAAUCAAGAACGAAAGUUAGGGGAUCGAAGACGAUCAGAUACCGUCGUAGUCUUAACCAUAAACUAUGCCGACUAGGGAUCGGAUGAUGUUAAUUUUUUAAUGACUCAUUCGGCGCCUUACG
rnacentral:misc_RNA from 1 species